GGGGUGGUGGCGCAGUUGGCUAGCGCGUAGGUCUCAUAAUCCUGAGGUCGAGAGUUUGAGCCUCUCUCACCCCA